rnacentral:rRNA from 1 species
AGAGUUUGAUCCUGGCUCAGGAUUGAACGCUGGCGGCAUGCCUAACACAUGCAAGUCGAACGGUAACGGACCGCACGGGAUUCCUUCGGGAUGACCUUGGUGCCGACGAGUGGCGGACGGGGGAGUAAUACUUAGGAAUCUGCCCAGUAGUGGGGGACAACUCGGGGAAACUCGAGCUAAUACCGCAUACGCCCUACGGGGGAAAAAGCGGAGGAUCUUUCGGGACUUCGCGCUAUUGGAUGAGCCUAAGUCGGAUUAGCUUGUUGGUGAGGUAAAAGCUCACCAAGGCGACGAUCCGUAGCUGGUCUGAGAGGACGAUCAGCCACACUGGGACUGAGACACGGCCCAGACUCCUACGGGAGGCAGCAGUGGGGAAUAUUGGACAAUGGGGGCAACCCUGAUCCAGCAAUGCCGCGUGUGUGAAGAAGGCCUGCGGGUUGUAAAGCACUUUCAGUAGAGAAGAAAAGCCUACGGUUAAUACCCGUGAGUCUUGACGUUACCUACAGAAGAAGCUCCGGCUAACUCCGUGCCAGCAGCCGCGGUAAUACGGAGGGAGCGAGCGUUAAUCGGAAUUACUGGGCGUAAAGCGCGCGUAGGCGGCUUUGUAAGUCGGAUGUGAAAGCCCUGGGCUCAACCUGGGAAUGGCAUUCGAUACUGCAGAGCUAGAGUAUGGUAGAGGGAAGUGGAAUUUCCGGUGUAGCGGUGAAAUGCGUAGAUAUCGGAAGGAACACCAGUGGCGAAGGCGACUUCCUGGGCCAAUACUGACGCUGAGGCGCGAAAGCGUGGGUAGCAAACAGGAUUAGAUACCCUGGUAGUCCACGCCGUAAACGAUGAGAACUAGAUGUCGGGGGAAUCUGUCCUUCGGUGUCGCAGCUAACGCGUUAAGUUCUCCGCCUGGGGAUUACGGUCGCAAGGCUAAAACUCAAAGGAAUUGACGGGGGCCCGCACAAGCGGUGGAGUAUGUGGUUUAAUUCGAAGCAACGCGCAGAACCUUACCUGGCCUUAACAUCCCGGGACUCCUGCAGAAAUGCGGGGGUGCUCGCUUCGGAGACUCGGUGAUAGGUGCUGCAUGGCUGUCGUCAGCUCGUGUCGUAAGAUGUUGGGUUAAGUCCCGCAACGAGCGCAACCCUUAUCUUUAGUUGCCAUCAUUAAGUUGGGCACUCUAAAGAGACUGCCGGUGUCAAACCGGAGGAAGGUGGGGAUGACGUCAAGUCCUCAUGGCCUUUAUGAUCAGGGCUACACACGUACUACAAUGGUCGGUACAAAGGGCAGCAACAGGGCGACCUGAAGCUAAUCUCAUAAAGCCGGUCUCAGUCCGGAUUGGAGUCUGCAACUCGACUCCAUGAAGUUGGAAUCGCUAGUAAUCGUAGAUCAGCAUGCUACGGUGAAUACGUUCCCGGGCCUUGUACACACCGCCCGUCACACCACGGGAGUUGGUUGUACCAGAAGCAGUUGAGCGAACCUCUCGAGGACGCAGGCUGCCAAGGUAUGAUUGGUAACUGGGGUGAAGUCGUAACAAGGUA